AGUGGUUAAAGCCCUUGGUAGCUUGAAAUCAGGAUCAAUAUUUACACCCUGUUAAUCAGCAAAGUCUAUAGUUCAAAGCUCCUCCCUAACCCCAGCUGGCUCACUGCACACCACAGGAACCUGUGGAGGAAAGGCAAAACAUGACCUUUACCCUCUUGGGGUUUUUGGCUGGGCCUGAAAAUUUAAUUAACAUAAAACAGAUCGACAGGAAAAAAAGCACACAUAUUGAUUGAAUGUGUUUUACAGUGACAGGGCAGGGGAGAGCCCUCGUAAGGAAAUGAGCACCAAAGAGGUGGCAGAACCUGAAUGCUUUUCCAACAGAUUGGACAAAGAGGGGUGAUUGUGGAGAAGUAACUGAAAUAUAUAGAAAGAAGGCUCUUAAAAGAAAGCAGGAUAAGUACCCAAGUGGAAGAAGACAGCCCUGGGCCACACAGCUGGUGGAAGGCUCCCUGAGCCAAGCUGGAGGUGAAUGCCACCAGUCUGCUGUGUCCAUGUCAUUGUCAAGACAGAACUGUGACCACUACUCUCAGUAAAUGUCGCUUCCUGGAAACCUCAGCUCAGGAUUACCUCACCAUUGAUGUCAGAAGCCUCUUGAUGAAAAUGAAAGAGGAUGUUCGUGAGAAUUAGAUGACAUCAUGACUGUACAAAGCGUCAAGUGGAAUGCCUGGUUCCUGAAAGGCUGCCUGGUGAAAUCUACACAGCUGAUGACUUUGGGCUCUGGUUUGGACCAUGACAGACCAUCCGUCUACUAUUGACCCUAUAAUCAGGUUGGUGGCUGGAUGUCUCCUGAGCCUAUGUGUGGACAGACCCAGCCACUUCCUGUUUUAGCUGUAUCAAGAAUUACGAUUUUAUUAAGGGAGAUAAUAAAC
ensembl:lncRNA